UCAUUCUCGAUUAUGUAGAGUUUCCCACAACUAAAAAAACAAAGUCACACAUUUGGUUUUGUCGGCUUAAGUUUUCACUUUUCUGAUCUUCUCUCUCUGUUUUGUCGAUUCGUUGGUUGUAUUCAAGAUGACUACUUCGUCCUGCCAAGAAAACUUUGUCGAUGGAGAAGAAGAUGAAGUUAUGGGUGAAGGUGAAGAGGAUGAUACAAAUUUUGUAGAUGGUUAAACCGGUUCCAAAAAGAAAGCCAAAUCAAGAGGUUCUGGGUCUACUUCCCAAGUAGAAAUUAAGACAAGGUCUGCGGUGUGGGCUCAUUUUACAAGGCUGCCAAAUGAUAGAAACAGAUGCAAGUGUAACUACUGUGCUUUAGGGUUGAAGUGUGUCACCACUUCGGGAACUUCAAAUUUGAGUAAACAUCUUACAACAUGAAAGCCAUACAUUGCUUGGAAGCAAAGAGCGACUCAGCAAAAUUUGAACAGCGGUAGUGGAGUUACUGCUGGGAACAUGCAAGUGGGUAGAGUAUCAGAAGCGUUUUUUAGAGAGGCAUGUAAUGAGAUGUUGGUGUUAGGUGAGCUACCUCUUGCUUUCAUUGAAAGCAUAGCAUGGAGACACUUCUGCAGACGGGUUCAACUUUACCAGCCACAUUCCAGAAGGACAGCCACCCGAGAUAUUGUUCAAAUGUAUGUGAGCCAAAAAGCUGCCUUGAAGACAAUGCUUGUAGCUCAAAAGCAAAGAGUCUCCCUCACUACUGAUAUUUGGGUCGCACAAAGCACAAGAGCAAGCUACAUGGUAAUUACUUGUCAUUUUGUUGAUUCUUGUUGGAGGUUAAGAAAGUUGAUCAUCGGGUUUAAGCAUGUCUUGGACCAUAAAGGAGCAACCAUAGCUGAUGUUCUUCUAGAUUGUUUGGCAGAAUGGGGGAUAGAGAGGGUCUUCAGUUUGUGAGAGAGUUGGAGAGCUAAUUUAUGAAGCCUCAUUUCAUAGACCUAAAGCUGCCAUGGGCAUCAGCCACUUACUGAUGUUUAUAUAUUUUACCCUGUUUUCCCUUA